rnacentral:rRNA from 1 species
UGAGGAAUAUUGGUCAAUGGACGGAAGUCUGAACCAGCCAAGUAGCGUGCAGGAUGACGGCCCUAUGGGUUGUAAACUGCUUUUGUAUGGGGAUAAAGUUAGGGACGUGUCCCUAUUUGCAGGUACCAUACGAAUAAGGACCGGCUAAUUCCGUGCCAGCAGCCGCGGUAAUACGGAAGGUCCAGGCGUUAUCCGGAUUUAUUGGGUUUAAAGGGAGCGUAGGCUGGAGAUUAAGUGUGUUGUGAAAUGUAGACGCUCAACGUCUGAAUUGCAGCGCAUACUGGUUUCCUUGAGUACGCACAACGUUGGCGGAAUUCGUCGUGUAGCGGUGAAAUGCUUAGAUAUGACGAAGAACUCCGAUUACGAAGGCAGCUGACGGGAGCGCAACUGACGCUUAAGCUCGAAGGUGCGGGUAUCAAACAGGAUUAGAUACCCUGGUAGUCCGCACAGUAAACGAUGGAUGCCCGCUGUUGGUACCUGGUAUCAGCGGCUAAGCGAAAGCAUUAAGCAUCCCACCUGGGGAGUACGCCGGNNCGGU